CAGCCGCCACGGUAAUACGAAGGGGGCUAGCGUUGCUCGGAAUUACUGGGCGUAAAGGGAGCGUAGGCGGAUCGUUAAGUUGGGGGUGAAAGCCCGGGGCUCAACCUCGGAACUGCCUUCAAUACUGGCGAUCUUGAGUAUGAGAGAGGUGUGUGGAACUCCGAGUGUAGAGGUGAAAUUCGUAGAUAUUCGGAAGAACACCAGUGGCGAAGGCGACACACUGGCUCAUUACUGACGCUGAGGCUCGAAAGCGUGGGGAGCAAACAGGAUUAGAUACCCGCGUAGUCCCUGUCUCUUAUAC
rnacentral:rRNA from 1 species